UACGGCCACAUCACGUUGAAGACACAGGUUCCCGUAUGAUCACCGAAGUUAAACAACGUCGAGCCUGGUCAAUACCUAGAUGGGUGACCGUUUGGGAAUAACAGGUGCUGCUG